rnacentral:rRNA from 1 species
UGGGGAAUCUUGGACAAUGGGGGCAACCCUGAUCCAGCCAUGCCGCGUGAGUGAUGAAGGCCUUAGGGUCGUAAAGCUCUUUCGCCUGUGAAGAUAAUGACGGUAGCAGGUAAAGAAACCCCGGCUAACUCCGUGCCAGCAGCCGCGGUAAUACGGAGGGGGUUAGCGUUGUUCGGAAUUACUGGGCGUAAAGCGCACGUAGGCGGACCAGAAAGUUGGGGGUGAAAUCCCGGGGGCUCAACCCCCGGAACUGCCUCCAAAACUAUUGGUCUAGAGUUCGAGAGAGGUGAGUGGAAUUCCAAGUGUAGAGGUGAAAUUCGUAGAUAUUUGGAGGAACACCAGUGGCGAAGGCGGCUCACUGGCUCGAUACUGACGCUGAGGUGCGAAAGUGUGGGGAGCAAACAGGAUUAGAUACCCUGGUAGUCCACACCGUAAAACGAUGAAUGCCCAGUCGUCGGGUAGCAUGCUAUUCGGUGACACACCUAACGGAUUAAGCAUUCCGGCCUGGGGAGUACGGUCGCAAGAUUAAAACCUCAAA